AUUGAACGAUGGCGGCAGGCCUAACACAUGCAAGUCGAGCGGAGCGGCGGACGGGUGAGUAAUGCCUAGGAAUCUGCCUGGUAGUGGGGGAUAACGUCCGGAAACGGGCGCUAAUACCGCAUCCUAUCAGAUGAGCCUAGGUCGGAUUAGCUAGUUGGUGGGGGAAGGGCCUACCACGGCGACGAUCCGUAACAGGUCUGCGGGGAUGAUCAGGCAGACUGGAACGUAGACACGGGCCAGACUCCUACGAGAGGCAUCAGUGGGGAGUAUGGGACAAUGGACGAAAGCCUGAUCCAGCCAUGGCGCGUGUGUGAAGAAGGUCUUCGGAUUGUAAAGCACUUUAAGUUGGGAGGCGUUACCAACAGAAUAAGCACCGGCUAACUUCGUGCCAGCAGCCGCGGUAAUAC
rnacentral:rRNA from 1 species